GGCCCCAUCGUCUAGUGGACUAGGACACGGGCUUUUCAGGCCUGUAACCAGGGUUCGAAUCCCUGUGGGGUCA
rfam:Candidatus Woesebacteria bacterium RIFCSPLOWO2_01_FTLL_39_21 rifcsplowo2_01_scaffold_3098, whole genome shotgun sequence.